AAUUAAAGAGCCCACAAGGCUCUCUGAUGGAAUAGGAGGAGGCCAAUCACAUGGGGAGAAAGAGCUCAAGAGCAGAGAAAACCAGAGCAAAGCAGCACAAGACUAGUGGUCACUAAGAGAUGGAAGAAUCUGGCCAUGGAGCUAAAGAGUCACAAGAAACAUGAGGAGUCUGCAUAGCGUAAUCCAGCAUGGAGUGAUGAUUCUACAGCUACAGAGAAGUGGGGCAGGAAGCAUCUGCCUUGCUGAAGGUGCCUGGAGGAAAAGAAACUCAAGAGAUGGAUGUCAUGAUUCUAAACUGUGUCCUUCCAAUUUUGUUGUGGCAAGAGGGGAUUUUAUUAUCCUGUGGUGUGAAAGAUGGAAUCCAUUUUUAUGGGACAAGGAAGAACAAUGGAAAUAGUUACGUUAUAAUUUGGAUUUAAUGUUCUACCAGUUAUGAUAUGCCUUUUUUGAAAUUCAGAAGACUUAAAACAUUAUCAAGCUAACUUCUAUCAGCUAGUGACUUCUAUCAACUGAAUGUUGGAGGGCAGGAGGCUUGUGCUACACCAGGAGGAUCAAUAUUAUUUGGGAUUUUUCAAGCAUCGGUGAACAAGUGAAAGGAGUAUUUUCUUGGAUGAAAAGAAACUCAUCUCAGAAUCCCUGAAAUCAUACCACAUGAUAAGAACUCAUAUUUUUGGAGACCUUUAAGGUUUGCAGAAUGCCUUUCUCCACAACAACCAGGAUCAGAUGGAUCAUGCAAGAGAGUAACCAGUCACAUGAAGAUAUAAUUUGUCAUCUCAAUGAAAGGAAAAAGCAAUGAGGACAUUGUAAAUAUGAUAUGGACAGCUGAUCUAAAUGCAACAGUGAUUGACUAAAUUUGUUUGUUUUUUUAUCAACGACAGGAAUAUGAACUAGAAUUGUUAUACACACAUAUGUGUAUAUGUAUAGGGAAUUCCCAGAACAGGUAAUUCCAAUGCAGAUUGUCACCUUCUCUGCAAUUUAUAAUCUUGGUCAGUUAACUAGACCAUCAAGUUGUUAAGAGAUUUACCCAGGGUCAUACAACCAGUAUGUGUAAGAAACAUGAUUUGAACAGAGGACUUCCAGACUCCAAGGCUAAGGAUAGAGUAUCCACUAUGACAUGCUGCCUCUGAGUAUCAAAGAUAAUCCUAGAAAAUGACCAUUUUGCUAGCAUAUAAAAUCUAUUCUCUUCCCACCCACCACCCUUCUGGGAAAUUUCUGGUUCACAGAGAAAAUCACUUUUUCAAAGCUCACUCUUAUCAAUGACUGCCUGGGGUUAUGCUGCGGUUCAACUGGAUCAAUAGAAAGGUUCCAUGAGUGAUUGGAUUAUUCCUAACUUGCAUGUUUCCAACAGUGAUAGAGAAUCUAGGAAAAUUGGCCUGUCUUCCAUCCUGCACAUUUACAUGGAAAAAAAUGAAGGUGGAAACUAGAUAGAUAACUCUCCUUUUGAAGGCAAAGACGGAAAAGUCAGAGGGCAGAGCUCACUCAGCUGGGCACAGCAGGCUCUAAACAUGGAAAUGUACCAGUAGAAUGCAGAAAUGGAUUAGUAAAUAUAGAAAAACAAAAAUUUCUAGAAAUUAUGGAAUCUGUGCUGGAAAUGACCUGAGAGGAAAUCUAGUCCAACUUGUCCCUAACCAAAAAUCUCCUCUGUAACAUCCCCAACAAUUGAGUCUUUCCUUGAAGAUCCCAAGUGAGGAGGAACCCACUCCCUCCCAAAGCAACAUUGACUAGCUCAUUGGAGUCUGGUGUUUGCUGGCAGACAACAAUCCUCAAAUGCCUGACUACUCUAGCCCAUGAGGAUUGUGAAGUUGUGAUAAACAAGGUAGCCCUCUCCCAAUUCUGUGGCAAAGGGAAGAAAUGAAAUCUUGUGAAAGGCAGGAAGUGUACAAUGCAUGAAGAAGAAUAAUGUUAAAAAGUUCCUAAUCCUACGACAGCAGUGCUACUUCAAUGGUAAGAGAGAUCUCAGUUAGUUGCAUCUCAGCAUGUACCCAGUAGUCAGUGUGUGAGGACAAAAAAGUAAGGCUACAUGAUGUACAGCAGGUACAAAAGCUACAGACUAAGUGACACCUUCCCCAGGAGAGCCUCCAUCAACAGAACCUCUCCCAACACUGGAGGUUGGGACAAGGAGGGCUGAGAACAAAACGUCACUUGAGUCAACAUCAUUUUCAAUAAUUCCACCAUUUUCUGGCUGCCCAGGCUUAUAACCUCAGCAUUAUUUUUUACUUUUCAUUCCCUGUGAUGCUACAUAUCCAAAUAUAUCCAUUUCCACUUGCACGACAUCUCUCAUAUCUUGUUGUUGUUGUUGAGUUGUGUCUAAGGAUAGACAGGCUUCUAUGAGUUGCAAUCUAUAGGAGAAAGAGAGAGAGAGGGAGAGAGAGAAAGAGAGCACUUUGAAUUGAGA